ACGGGGGGUGCGAGCGUUGUCCGGAAUCACUGGGCGUAAAGGGCGCGUAGGUGGCUUGGUAAGCGUGUGGUGAAAGUCCGGGGCUCAACCCCGGAUCUGCCGUGCGAACUGCUGAGCUCGAGCAAUGUAGAGGCAGGUGGAAUUCCCAGUGUAGCGGUGAAAUGCGUAGAUAUUGGGAAGAACACCGGAGGCGAAGGCGGGUUGCUGGGCCGACACUGACGCUGAGGCGCGAAAGCCAGGGGAGCGAACGGGA
rnacentral:rRNA from 1 species